UGCUCGGCCAUCAACUUAGAUUUUUCCCCCCCACAUACUAAUCCGCCAGAGAACUACCCGCGCAAGCCAAAAACUCUAAGGACUUGACGGUAUCCUAACACCCUAGAGGAGCCUGUCCCAUAAUCGACACCCCACGCUAAACCCCACCCCCCUUAGUCCUCCUCAGCCUAUAUACCGCCGUCGAAAGCCCACCUUAUGAAAGCGCCAACGUGGACAAAAUAUGCCACAUCCCUAAUACGUCAGGUCAAGGUGUAGCUAAUAGAGGGGAGCGCGAUGGGCUACACUCCCUCAACCCCGGGCCCUGUAAGAAAUAUGAAAACCUCCCCAAAGAAGGAUUUAGCAGUAAACUUAACAAGCACUGUUAAUUUGAACCCCGCCCUAGGAUGCGUACAU
rnacentral:rRNA from 1 species